rnacentral:rRNA from 1 species
AUAAAUAACAAUGNAGGGCUCUUAUGGGUCUUAUAAUUGGAAUGAGUACAAUUUAAAUCCCUUAACGAGGAUCAAUUGGAGGGCAAGUCUGGUGCCAGCAGCCGCGSUAAUUCCAGCUCCAAUAGCGUAUACUAAAAUUGUUGCCGUUAAAAAGCUCGUAGUCGAACUUCGGCCUUUGCCGCCCGGUCCGCCUUUUUGGUGUGUACUGGAGCGGUGGAGGCCUACUUCGUGGUGAACGAUCAUGCUCUUCACUGGGUGUGGUUGGGAACCAUGACUUUUACCUUGAAAAAAUUAGAGUGUUCAAAGCAGGCUUACGCCCGAAUACAUUAGCAUGGAAUAAUAAAAUAAGACGUGCGUUCUUAUUUUGUUGGUUUCUAGGAUCGCCGUAAUGAUUAAUAGGGAYAGUUGGGGGCAUUCGUAUUCAAUUGCUAGAGGUGAAAUUCUUGGAUUUAUUGAAGACGAACUACUGCGAAAGCAUUUGCCAAGGAUGUUUUCAUUGAUCAAGAACGAAGGUUAGGGGAUCGAAAACGAUCAGAUACCGUUGUAGUCUUAACAGUAAACGAUGCCGACUAGGGAUCGGACGAGGAUUUUUAAUGACUCGUUCGGCACCUGAAGAGAAAUCUUUAAGUCUAGGUUCGGKGGGGAGUAUGGUCGCAAGGCUGAAACUUAAAGGAAUUGACGGAAGGGCACCACCAUGGUGUGGAGCCUGCGGCUUAAUUUGACUCAACACGGGGAAACUCACCAGGUCCAGACACGACAAGGAUUGACAGAUUGAUAGCUCUUUCUUGAUUUCGUGGUUGGUGGUGCAUGGCCGUUCUUAGUUGGUGGAGUGAUUUGUCUGGUUAAUUCCGAUAACGAACGAGACCUUAACCUGCUAAAUAGCCCGGCCGACUUUGGUUGGUCGCUGGCUUCUUAGAGGGACUAU